rnacentral:rRNA from 1 species
UACGUAGGGUGCGAGCGUUAAUCGGAAUUACUGGGCGUAAAGCGUGCGCAGGCGGCUUCGCAAGUCAGACGUGAAAUCCCCGGGCUUAACCUGGGAAUGGCGUUUGAAACUACGGAGCUGGAGUGUGGCAGAGGGAGGUAGAAUUCCACGUGUAGCGGUGAAAUGCGUAGAUAUGUGGAGGAAUACCGAUGGCUAAGGCAGCCUCCUGGUCCAACACUGACGCUCAGGCACGAAAGCGUGGGGAGCAAACAGG